GCCCCUGUAGCUCAAUGGAUAGAGCUCCGCACUCCUAACGCGAAGAUCUAGGUUCGAUUCCUAGUGGGGGCA
rnacentral:tRNA from 1 species